rnacentral:rRNA from 1 species
GACGAAGGAUGCAAGCGUUAUCCGGAUUCAUUGGGUUUAAAGGGUGCGUAGGCGGAUUGGUAAGUCAGUGGUGAAAUCUCGCAGCUUAACUGCGAAACUGCCAUUGAUACUGCUAAUCUAGAGUACAGUUGCCGUUGGCGGAAUAUGACAUGUAGUGGUGAAAUACAUAGAUAUGUCAUAGAACACCGAUUGCGAAGGCAGCUAACGAAGCUGUAACUGACGCUGAGGCACGAAGGCCAGGGGAGCAAACAGGG